rnacentral:rRNA from 1 species
UACGUAGGGUGCAAGCGUUGCCCGGAUUUAUUGGGCGUAAAGGGCGCGUAGGCGGCUCUGCACGUCCGUUGUGAAAUCGCCCGGCUCAACUGGGCGGGGUCAGCGGAUACGGCAGAGCUUGAGCAAGCUAGGGGGCAAUGGAAUUCCCGGUGUAGUGGUGGAAUGCGUAGAUAUUGGGAGGAACACCAGUGGCGAAGGCGGCUCACUGGACCGGUUCUGACGCUGAGGCGCGAAAGCGUGGGGAGCAAACGGG